CCUACGGGAGGCAGCAGUGGGGAAUAUUGGACAAUGGGGGCAACCCUGAUCCAGCCAUGCCGCGUGUGUGAAGAAGGCCCUCGGGUUGUAAAGCACUUUCAGUGAGGAAGAACGCCUGGUGGUUAAUACCCAUCAGGAAAGACAUCACUCACAGAAGAAGCACCGGCUAACUCCGUGCCAGCAGCCGCGGUAAUACGGAGGGUGCGAGCGUUAAUCGGAAUUACUGGGCGUAAAGCGCGCGUAGGUGGCUUGAUAAGCCGGUUGUGAAAGCCCCGGGCUCAACCUGGGAACGGCAUCCGGAACUGUCAAGCUAGAGUGCAGGAGAGGAAGGUAGAAUUCCCGGUGUAGCGGUGAAAUGCGUAGAGAUCGGGAGGAAUACCAGUGGCGAAGGCGGCCUUCUGGACUGACACUGACGCUGAGGUGCGAAAGCGUGGGUAGCAAACAGGAUUAGAUACCCGAGUAGUC
rnacentral:rRNA from 1 species